rnacentral:rRNA from 1 species
UACGUAGGUGACUAGCGUUGUCCGGAUUUACUGGGCGUAAAGAGCGCGCAGGCGGUCGUUCAAGUCGAGUGUGAAAGCCCCCGGCUCAACUGGGGAGGGUCAUUCGAUACUGAUCGACUCGAAGGCAGGAGAGGGAAGCGGAAUUCCCGGUGUAGUGGUGAAAUGCGUAGAUAUCGGGAGGAACACCAGUGGCGAAGGUGGCUUCCUGGCCUGUUCUUGACGCUGAGGCGCGAAAGCUAGGGGAGCAAACGGG